GAUGACCGCUGUCGGCGUGCCUAAUACAUGCAAGUUGAGCGCACAGACGAGGAGCUUUCUCCUCUUACGUUAUCGGCAGAUGUGUGCGUAACCCGUGGAUCACCUACCUAUAAGACUGGGAUCACUUCGGGACACCGGCUCUCAUACCGGAUAAUAUAUUGAACCGCCUGGUUCAAUAGUCAAAGACGGUUUUGCUGUCACUUCUAGAUGGAUCCGCGCCGCAUUAGCUAGUUGGUAAGGUAACAGCUUACCAAGGCAACGAUGCGUAGCCGACCUGCGCGGGUGACCGGGCACCCUGGAACCGAGACACGGCCCAGACUCCUACGGAAGGCAGCAGGAUGGGAUCUGCGGAAAUGGGCGAAAGGCUGACAGAGGAACACCGGUUGUGUGAUGAAGGUCUAGGGAUCGGAAAACUGUUGUAUUAGGAGAGAACAAAGGAGUAAGUAAGUAUGCAGGUUAUGACGGGACCUAAUCAGAAAGGCACGGCUAACUACGUG
rnacentral:rRNA from 1 species